rnacentral:lncRNA from 1 species
GCCGGGCCUCGCUGCGCGGGUGCCGGAGAGGAAGGAAGGCUGGCGGCCUCGUCACGUGUGCGCUGCAGUCGCGAAACAGUUCCGGUGGUGAGGAGACCUUUCCAAAUAUAAGAGGAAUAAAGAAGUCACCUCCCCAGCUGUCAUCAUCUUCCAGCAGAUUGAGCAAGAAUAUUUUGAGCACUACAGAAAAGACAGCCCGUCAAACCCUACAUGAUGAUCAGCCAUGUGACUUUUUCAAGAAGAGGAAUAGGGUGAAUGAAUCGCAUCAGAAAAGCAGGUAAAUAGUUUUAGUAUAAUUGUAUCUUGCAAAAGACUCAUUAUCUCUGUUGUCCAGAUUGAAUAUGUAGAUUUGGAAAAAAAAAAGCAUGUCUAUGUAUAAGAAACAUACAUUUAUAAUUUUUAUCUAGCAGAAAU